rnacentral:sRNA from 10 species
CACUGUUGAGUUAGCUCAGUUGAUUGUUCAUAGUUACAGAUUGAACUUCUUGUUCUACUCUUUUCCCCCCUUCUGACUACUGCACUUGAGUAGUCUUAA